rnacentral:rRNA from 1 species
AGAGGGGGCAAGCGUUAUUCGGAAUUAUUGGGCGUAAAGGGCGCGUAGGCGGCUUUGCAAGUGACGGGUGAAAUCCCUCGGCUUAACCGAGGAACUGCCUGUCAAACUGCAUGGCUUGAGACCAGGAGAGGUGAGUGGAAUUCCCAGUGUAGCGGUGAAAUGCGUAGAUAUUGGGAGGAACACCAGUGGCGAAGGCGGCUCACUGGACUGGUACUGACGCUGAUGCGCGAAAGCGUGGGGAGCAAACAGGAUUAGAUACCCUGGUAGUCCACGCCGUAAACGAUGAGUGCUUGGUGUAGCGGGUAUCGACCCCUGCUGUGCCGAAGUCAACACAUUAAGCACUCCGCCUGGGGAGUACGGUCGCAAGGCUG